UACGGGGGGGGGCAAGCGUUGUUCGGAAUUACUGGGCGUAAAGGGCUCGUAGGCGGCCAACUAAGUCAUACGUGAAAUCCCCAGGCUCAACCUGGGAACUGCGUCUGAUACUGGUUGGCUUGAAUCCGGGAGAGGGAUGCAGAAUUCCAGGUGUAGCGGUGAAAUGCGUAGAUAUCUGGAGGAAUACCGGUGGCGAAGGCGGCAUCCUGGACCGGCAUUGACGCUGAGGAGCGAAAGCCAGGGGAGCAAAGCGGG
rnacentral:rRNA from 1 species